AUUGAACGCUGGCGGCAGGCCUAACACAUGCAAGUCGAGCGAGCGGCGGACGGGUGAGUAAUGUAUGGGGAACUGCCCGAUAGAGGGGGAUAACUACUGGAAACGGUAGCUAAUACCGCAUACUAUCGGAUGCACCCAUAUGGGGUUAGCUAGUAGGUGGGGUAAAGGCUCACCUAGGCGACGAUCUCUAGCUGGUCUGCGAGGAUGACCAGCCACAACGGGACUGAGAACCGGCCCAGAAUCCUACGUGAGGGAGCAGGGGGGCAUAUUGCACAAUGGGCGCAAGCCUGAUGCAGCCAUGCCGGGUGUAUGAAGAAGGCCUUCGGGUUGUAAAGUACUUUCAGCGGAGAAGCGGUACCCGGAGAAGAAGCACCGGCUAAAUCCGUGCCAGCCGCCGAGGUAAUAC
rnacentral:rRNA from 1 species